UACGGAGGGUGCAAGCGUUAAUCGGAAUUACUGGGCGUAAAGCGUGCGCAGGCGGUUUGUUAAGUCUGGUGUGAAAUCCCCGAGCUCAACUUGGGAAUUGCAAUGGAUACUGGCAGGCUGGAGUAUGGUAGAGGAAGGUGGAAUUCCCGGUGUAGCAGUGAAAUGCGUAGAGAUCGGGAGGAACACCAGUGGCGAAGGCGGCCUGCUGGACCAAUACUGACGCUCAUGCACGAAAGCGUGGGGAGCAAACAGG
rnacentral:rRNA from 1 species